CUUUAGCUAAAAAUACAAUUGAAAGUCUCUACAGCGUGCGCUUCACGAAGUAAAGUUGUGAAAUACGACACUAAAGUAGGUCCAUGAAUGCAGCACAAAACACGCGAAGACUGAUUGAGAAUCCUGCAGCUUGGACCUCAUAUUUUGAACAGAAGAGAAAAACAAAGACUGAGCUAUCUUUGGUAAAAGCCUAUCACUAAAGAUGAUUGACCCAAAUCUCAGAGAAGAACCUUUAAAUUUAAAUGUUACCACUGCAGUUGCCACCCAUUCUUCUCAAACAGAGGAUUCAUUAACCAGGAGCAGCGGGAUCAUACCUGGUACAAUUGCAGCCUCAGUUUUCAUUGCCUUCUUGCUUGCACUCUACGCCACUCUCUGGAAGUGCAUGAUGUCACCACCAACUCGAAAGAAAAGUAAGCGGAGGAUAAGGGCACAACAGAAGAGGUCUUCUCUUCAGCAUCUUUAAACCAGUCAAUGAAGAUCAGGAAGCACAUAUGUUAUGGAUUGGCAAGUCUGCCUGAGCAGUGGUUACUGGCGACCUUUUUAACUCAAAGGUGAUGAUGAUGUAAAUAGUUGUGGCAGGUCAGAUUGUGCUCUUUUUUUCCUUUGAUGUUUUACUUGGGAGGCAGAGGCCCAGGAAGAACUUUUUUCUUGUGUAGAGAUGAGUAUUAUGAAAGACUUGUCUGUUUUUUAUGGUAAUUUUUGUACAAAUAAAACUUUUUUGCAAAUGUGCCAUGGUCUAUUUGGACAGCAUCUCCAAAGAGUCAAAGAAAACCACAGAUUGGAGAUUAGAAAGCAAGUGUACACAGCUACCUAGAGUGUACCAGCUAGCUAGAGCUAGAGCUGAAGCAACAUCCUCUAGCAAGCCAGCAGGGGGUGGUGUCAGCCUUUUUUAACAUUAUGAGAGACUGACCCUGCCUCAGGGAACAACAGCUGGUUAUUCCCUGUCACAUAACAUGAGUGACGAAGAUGGAAGCCCGCCGUCAAAAACCAAUCAGGGUCAUCCUUAUAAGGGUUAGAGCAAUGCACUUGUGCUCCGAGAAGGUUGCAAGUGUCUGGUUGGAUCCCCACAGCCUACACUCUGGGUUCUUAAGCGAAACCAUUAACCCCACACUGCUCCCCGGGGUGCCACACAAUGGCAGCCCACUGACCCCAAAGGGGAUGGGUUAAAUGCAAAGUUAAUUUCCCCAUUGUGGGACAAUAAAAAUAUUUACAUAACUUAAAAUUGUCUGAUAACAAAAGACUAAUUGUAUACAAACACUUGACUAAGUUGGCUCAAUGUCCAUCUUUUGAGUAGACCUACAGGCAGAGAAUCCAUCCUGCAUAAUAUGCUGUCUAUAGAGCUGACAUCUGCCAGGCUGCUUUGACCAAAAAAGUUGUGACAGUUCUUACCUUCAGAGCAUUGUUUUCGACUUGAGGACAUCACAUAGAUGUCUUGUCCCAACCUAUGUAUGAGCGUGGAAUGCGCUCCAGAGGGCAAAGGACCUAUCAUGAUACUGUCAGGUAAAAAGUCUGAUAAUUUAAAGAGAGUAUUCUAGGGUUUCUAAGGCCAUCAUCUGGCCCAUAUUACUUUGUCUUUAAGACACUUAAGCAUCAAUGGUUUCACACUUUUUAACUUUCAGUGACAACAAAUUAGAGGUUGUGGUAUUAUAUUCCUGCAGCUCCUGUGAGCCAUCUCCUCUUGGGCCCUUUAGUGUUUUUAUCACAUUUCACAGCUGGCAUAAAUAAAGCUGACUCCUUCAAAAUGACAUUUUGAAGCAGUAAUUCAUGCCUUCAUGACAACUCAGUUUGAUUAUUGAUAUUGUUCUCUACAUUGGAAUCAACCAGUCGACCCUCAAGCGCUCUAAAGUCCCUAAAUUAUUGAACAAUCGCCCGUUUUAUAUUAGAAAUUUGUCUUUCAUUGUCUUUCAUUGUUCAUGUUUUUAAAACUUGCCUAUAGACACAUUCUUGUUUCUUAGCUUUAACAUAUGUUGAGACUGUUGCCGUAUUAUGUUUUAUUAAUUCCAUUAUCAUUGUUCUUUUUCAUAUUCUUUGUUGAUUCUUGUGCACUGUCAGGCCUAAUAACUGAACUGACCGGGCAUAACAUUAUGAUACCUAAUAAUUGAAUUCAGAUUAUAUUCCUGAAAUAAGCACAUUUAAAACUAAUAGGUUGCACAAGGGAUGGGUGGGCCAAACUUAUCACUCUACCUUACAAAGUAAAGCUUGGGAGGCAGCUAUCUUAAUACACAAAUCUUUACCCGUUAAGUUUUUCUGCACUGCUUUUAAGCCUUUCAGACUUCCAGUUUUUAAAAUAUUAUCAGUUGGAUGGCAAAGGGAGGAGCUUGCCCCAGGUGUCUUUCAUGUGAAACCAUAGCUGGUUUCAAUGAUGAAAUAGUGGUGGUUAACCUACCGUCUGGCUGUUUUUUAAAAGAUGAGCGUUAUGCAUUUCACAGAACUGAUGCUUAUCUUUUAAACUGUGCGUGAGAGUGAAAGCCAUUGCAUCCAUUUAAUGCUCUUUAUAUAAAAACAAAUCUUGUGUAAGAAAAAAAUGUUAAAGGAAAGCUCUGUUUACACCUUAAAGCUUUCUCUCUCCAGUUCUUUUUCCUGAAAAGAGAUCUCUCAGGAAAAACUUUUUAAAUAACACUUCAUAAUGUAUAUGCAUUAAAUAAUAAUGAGACAUGACAUCAGAUUCUGAUAGAAAUUGUAAUCUUACUCAGAGAGGAUUGCGUUCCCAAAACUCUGCACUUCACA